AAAUAACUUGUGAUUUUGCUGAGCUUGCAGUGACUUUCUCCACAGGUUAUGUUGGUGGAGCAGGAAACUACUUGGGAGCGAGCCUGGGCCCUGGGGCCUAUGGACCAGGUUUGGGACAGGGAGUGUAUCUGGGUGGUGCAGCUGGCAAACUUGGAGCUCCUGCUGCACUUGGACAGGGCUAUGGUGAGGGAACAACAGGAUACCUGGGUGCUGUAGCAGGCAAUGGCUUUGGUAAGUGGGAAUUCAAAUCCUCCCAGUAAACUGUGCUCUGCAAGUUACUUAGGGGAACAUAGAAGA
rnacentral:lncRNA from 1 species